rnacentral:tRNA from 2 species
CAGCCCGUAGCUCAUCUGGAUAGAGCACGAACCUUCUAAGUUCGGGGUAACUGGUUCGAGCCCAGUCGGGCUGGCCA